rnacentral:rRNA from 1 species
GUGCCAGCAGCCGCGGUAAUACGAAGGGGGCUAGCGUUGCUCGGAAUCACUGGGCGUAAAGCGCACGUAGGCGGAUUUCUAAGUCAGGGGUGAAAUCCCGGAGCUCAACUCCGGAACUGCCUCUGAUACUGGAGAUCUCGAGUCCGGGAGAGGUGAGUGGAACUGCGAGUGUAGAGGUGAAAUUCGUAGAUAUUCGCAAGAACACCAGUGGCGAAGGCGGCUCACUGGCCCGGUACUGACGCUGAGGUGCGAAAGCGUGGGGAGCAAACAGGAUUAGAUACCCUCGUAGUCC